AUGGCGGAUGUAAGUCAUGAGUCAAUGAUGGAGUACUAUCAUAUUGCCAACAAGAUGUUUAAUAGUGAGGAUGAAGGUUAUACAUUCUAUAACAAAUAUGGUCUUGAGAAAGGUUUUAGUGUCCGGAGAAGCUAUGUCGAGUGGGAUGGAUCCAACUGCCAUAUAAUUUUAAGGAAAUUUGUGUGUAGUCGUGAAGGGGUUCGUGAAGAGAAGCACACGAAGAGGAAGAUGGAAGAUAGAAAGAGGAGGCCACGGAGUAUAACUCGUGUAGGGUGUAAAGCUAAAUUGGUGAUUGCAAGACAGGAGGAAACAGGUCAGUGGUUUGUCAAGGAUUUCAUCGAUGAACACAACCAUCAUCUAGCCCCACGGGAUUUGUCGUGUCUUUUGCGUUCACACAGAAGAAUUAGCGAUGAGCAAAAACCAGACAUUGCAGACAUGGAAAAAUCUGGGAUCCGAAAACACCAUAUUUUGGAUAUUAUGUGCAUGCAAUACGGUGGAUAUGAUGAGGUUGGAUGCAUUAUGAGGGACAUUUACAAUUUCUGCCAUGCUAACAAGCAGGAAACAAUUUCUUCCGGCGAUGCUCAAACGGUGAUCAAUCACAUGGAGGCGAGGCAAGAGCAAGAUUCAGAUUUUUUUUCUUCAGGUACUUGGUUG
rnacentral:rRNA from 1 species